UACGGGGGGGGCAAGCGUUGUUCGGAAUUACUGGGCGUAAAGGGCUCGUAGGUGGCCAACUAAGUCGGACGUGAAAUCCCUCGGCUUAACCGGGGAACUGCGUCUGAUACUGGAUAGCUUGGAGUGCGGCAGAGGGAGGUGGAAUUCCACGUGUAGCAGUGAAAUGCGUAGAGAUGUGGAGGAACACCGAUGGCGAAGGCAGCCUCCUGGGCCAGCACUGACGCUCAUGCACGAAAGCGUGGGGAGCAAACAGG
rnacentral:rRNA from 1 species